UUCAUUAGUUUUUACGACAUACUUCUUCAAGAGACUCACAACCCGCCCCACCAAUAAGAACAAGUCCCGGCAUCACCCAGUCGAGGAUAAUCCUAACCUAACCCCGGGGGAGAAGAGGUAUGACAGGGUGAGAAAGUGGACCAAGAAGGUCAACUUGUUCAAAAGGACUUUGUGGUGGUGCCCAUGAAUGAGCAUGGGCAUUGGUUCGUCUGCGUCAUCUGUUAUCCAGGUCAACUUGGUUGUGUCCGAACCGAGGUUGGUACACUGUGUGAGGCUCCUCUCUCACAAUCCUUCAGAGUAAAGAAGAAGAAAAA